GGUGGCAGAGUGAGGGGGAGACACAGUGAGUGGGGGUGACUGGUGACAGAGUGAGGGAGUGGGUGACUAGUGACAGAGGGAAGGAGAGGGGGAGACUAGUGACAGAGUGAGGGAAUGGGUGACUAGUGGCAGAGUGAGGGAGGGAAGAGAUGACUAGUGGCAAAGUGAGGGAGGGAAGGGGUGACUAGUGACAGAGUGAGGGGGGGCUGACUGUCACUAGUCACCCCAUCCCUCUCUCUGUCACUAGUCACUCCCUCCCUAACUCUGUCACUGUGUCACCCGCUCCCUCACUCUGUCACUAGUCACCCCCUUACUCUGUCACUCCCUCCCUCUGUCACUGUGUCACCCGCUCGCUCACUCUGUCACUAGUCACCCCCUUACUCUGUCACUGUGUCACCCCCUCCCUCUGUCAC